rnacentral:rRNA from 1 species
AUUGAACGCUGGCGGCAGGCCUAACACAUGCAAGUCGAACGAGUGGCGGACGGGUGAGUAAUGUCUGGGAAACCGCCUGAUGGAGGGGGAUAACUACUGGAAACAGUAGCUAAUACCGCAUACCAUCGGAUGUGCCCAGAUGGGAUUAGCUAGUAGGUGGGGUAACGGCUCACCUAGGCGACGAUCCCUAGCUGGUCUGAGAGGAUGACCAGCCACAAGGGAACUGAGACACGGUCCAGACUCCUACGGGAGGCAGCAGUGGGGAAUAUUGCACAAUGGGCGCAAGCCUGAUACAGCCAUGCCGCGUGUAUGAAGAAGGCCUUCGGGUUGUAAAGUACUUUCAGCGGGGAGGCGUUACUCGCAGAAGAAGCACCGGCUAACUCCGUGCCAGCAGCCGCGGUAAUAC